UACGUAGGGGGCAAGCGUUGUCCGGAUUUAUUGGGCGUAAAGAGCGUGUAGGCGGCCAGGUAGGUCCGUUGUGAAAACUGGAGGCUUAACCUCCAGCUGUCGAUGGAAACCAUCUGGCUAGAGUCCGGAAGAGGAGAGUGGAAUUCCUGGUGUAGCGGUGAAAUGCGCAGAUAUCAGGAAGAACACCCGUGGCGAAGGCAGCUCACUGGGACGUGACUGACGCUGAGACGCGAAAGCGUGGGGAGCAAACAGG
rnacentral:rRNA from 1 species